AUUGAACGCUGGCGGCAUGCCUUACACAUGCAAGUCGAACGGUAACAGGUCUUCGGAUGCUGACGAGUGGCGAACGGGUGAGUAAUACAUCGGAACGUGCCUAGUAGUGGGGGAUAACUACUCGAAAGAGUGGCUAAUACCGCAUGAGAUCUACGGAUGAAAGCAGGGGAUCGCAAGACCUUGUGCUACUAGAGCGGGCGAUGGCAGAUUAGGUAGUUGGUGGGAUAAAAGCUUACCAAGCCGACGAUCUGUAGCUGGUCUGAGAGGACGAUCAGCCACACUGGGACUGAGACACGGCCCAGACUCCUACGGGAGGCAGCAGUGGGGAAUUUUGGACAAUGGGCGCAAGCCUGAUCCAGCAAUGCCGCGUGCAGGAUGAAGGCCUUCGGGUUGUAAACUGCUUUUGUACGGAACGAAAAGCCCUGGGUUAAUACCCUGGGGUCAUGACGGUACCGUAAGAAUAAGCACCGGCUAACUACGUGCCAGCCGCCGCAGUAA
rnacentral:rRNA from 1 species